GAUGAACGCUGGCGGCGUGCUUAACACAUGCAAGUCGAACGGAACUCUAUGGAACAAGUUUUCGGACAAGGGAAGUAGACGUUUAGUGGCGGACGGGUGAGUAACGCGUGAGGAACCUGCCUUGGAGAGGGGAAUAACGUCUGGAAACGGACGCUAAUACCGCAUGAUGCAAUUAAAUCGCAUGGUUUGAUUGCCAAAGAUUUAUCGCUCUGAGAUGGCCUCGCGUCUGAUUAGCUAGUUGGUAGGGUAACGGCCUACCAAGGCAUCGAUCAGUAGCCGGACUGAGAGGUUGACCGGCCACAUUGGGACUGAGAUACGGCCCAGACUCCUACGGGAGGCAGCAGUGGGGAAUAUUGGGCAAUGGGCGCAAGCCUGACCCAGCAACGCCGCGUGAAGGAAGAAGGCUUUCGGGUUGUAAACUUCUUUUAAGAGGGAAGAUAAUGACGGUACCUCUUGAAUAAGCCACGGCUAACUACGUGCCAGCAGCCGCGGUAAUACGUAGUGGCAAGCGUUAUCCGGAUUUACUGGGUGUAAAGGGCGUGUAGGCGGGAUUGCAAGUCAGAUGUGAAAUUUCGGAGCUCAACUCCGAACGUGCAUUUGAAACUGCGAUUCUUGAGUGAUGGAGAGGCAAGCGGAAUUCCGUGUGUAGCGGUGAAAUCCGUAGAGAUCGGGAGGAACAUCAGUGGCGAAGGCGGCUAUCUGGCACUAUACUGACGCUGAGGUGCGAAAGCGUGGGUAUCAAACAGGAUUAGAUACCCUGGUAGUCCACGCUGUAAACGAUGGAUACUAGGUGCCGGGGGCUCGACUCUCGGUGCCGUAGCUAACGCGUUAAGUAUCCCGCCUGGGGAGUACGGUCGCAAGGCUGAAACUCAAAGAAAUUGACGGGGGCCCGCACAAGCGGUGGAGUAUGUGGUUUAAUUCGAUGCAACGCGAAGAACCUUACCUAGGCUUGACAUCCGGGGAACUCUCCCGAAAAGGAGAGGUGCACUUCGGUGAACCCCGAGACAGGUGCUGCAUGGCUGUCGUCAGCUCGUGCCGUGAGGUGUUUGGUUAAGUCCAGCAACGAGCGCAACCCCUGUCAUUAGUUGCCAACAGGUAAAGCUGUGCACUCUAAUGAUACUGCUGUGGUCAACACAGAGGAAGGUGGGGACGACGUCAAGUCAUCAUGGCCCUUACGCCUAGGGCUACACACGUACUACAAUGGCGCGCACAAAGGGCAGCGAGACCGCGAGGUGGAGCCAAUCCCAAAAAACGCGUCCCAGUCCGGAUUGCAGUCUGCAACUCGACUGCAUGAAGUCGGAAUCGCUAGUAAUUCUGGAUCAGCAUGCCAGGGUGAAUGCGUUCCCGGGCCUUGUACACACCGCCCGUCACACCACGAAAGUUGGUUUUACCCGACACCUGUGAGCUAACCGCAAGGAGGCAGCAGUCUACGGUAGGGCCGAUGAUUGGGGUG
rnacentral:rRNA from 1 species